AGUGAACGCUGGCGGUAGGCCUAACACAUGCAAGUCGAACGGCAGCACAGGAGAGCUUGCUCUCUGGGUGGCGAGUGGCGGACGGGUGAGGAAUACAUCGGAAUCUACCUUUUCGUGGGGGAUAACGUAGGGAAACUUACGCUAAUACCGCAUAAGACCUUCGGGUGAAAGCAGGGGACCUUCGGGCCUUGCGCGGAUAGAUGAGCCGAUGUCGGAUUAGCUUGUUGGCGGGGUAAAAGCCCACCAAGGCGACGAUCCGUAGCUGGUCUGAGAGGAUGAUCAGCCACACUGGAACUGAGACACGGUCCAGACUCCUACGGGAGGCAGCAGUGGGGAAUAUUGGACAAUGGGCGCAAGCCUGAUCCAGCCAUACCGCGUGGGUGAAGAAGGCCUUCGGGUUGUAAAGCCCUUUCGAUGGGAAAGAAAAGCCUGGAGCUAAUACCUCCGGGUCUUGACGUUACCCAGAGAAGAAGCACCGGCUAACUCCGUG
rnacentral:rRNA from 1 species